rnacentral:rRNA from 1 species
GACGAACCGUGCGAACGUUGUUCGGAAUCACUGGGCUUAAAGGGCGCGUAGGCGGGCCGCCAAGUCAGGGGUGAAAUCCUCCAGCUCAACUGGAGAACUGCCUUUGAUACUGGCGGUCUUGAGUGGGGUAGGGGCAUGCGGAACAAUGGGUGGAGCGGUGAAAUGCGUUGAUAUCCAUUGGAACUCCGGUGGCGAAAGCGGCGUGCUGGACCUCAACUGACGCUGAGGCGCGAAAGCUAGGGGAGCAAACGGG